UACGGAGGGUGCGAGCGUUAAUCGGAAUUACUGGGCGUAAAGCGCACGUAGGCGGUCAGGCAAGUCGGGUGUGAAAGCCCUGGGCUCAACCUGGGAAUUGCAUUCGAAACUAUCUGACUAGAGUAUGGGAGAGGGAAGCGGAAUUUCCGGUGUAGCGGUGAAAUGCGUAGAGAUCGGGAGGAACACCAGAGGCGAAGGCGGCGACCUGGACAGGCACUGACGCUGAGGCACGAAGGUCAGGGGAGCAAACGGG
rnacentral:rRNA from 1 species